rnacentral:lncRNA from 1 species
GCCCUUGACCGCAUGGUUUCUGCUGGUCCAAGCAACCUUCUCCUGCCACGCCUAACCUUGGAGAAGCAGUGAUCAAUGGAGGAAGUGUUUCACGGUGGACAUGGGAAACUGGCCAGAUCAACUGCUGUCACCUUCUAAAGACAGGGUUUUGCCAUGUUGCCAGGCUGGUCUCGAACUCCUGGACUCAAGUGAUCUGCCUGCCUCAGCCUCUCAAAGUGCUGGAAUUAUAGGACCCAGACGGGGAGGAGGAAUGCCAGAGAAGCUGCAGACUCCCCAGCCACAGAGCCUGAGUGGAGCAGAGGUGGCCCACUGUCAGCCACAGGUCAAGUGUCAGGGUGGGGACGGGGCAGGCUCCACCAGGAGGCGGGGCCAGACCACAGGGCAAGGUGGAGAUGAGUCUGUGGCACCCCCAGGAAGCUUACCAGAUUUGCCACAGAGCCUCUGACCCUUUGGAUCUCUCUGGGCUGCAUUCUUCAGGGUCACAUUGCUUCUUUCUUGAAGGUGGAAGGAAAUGUUCCCAUCAGAGCCUUCCAACAGG